rnacentral:rRNA from 1 species
CAUUCACGGAGAGUUUGAUCCUGGCUCAGGACGAACGCUGGCGGCGUGCUUAACACAUGCAAGUCGAACGAUGAAGCCCUUCGGGGUGGAUUAGUGGCGAA